rnacentral:rRNA from 1 species
CCUACGGGUGGCAGCAGUGGGGGAUAUUGCACAAUGGGGGAAACCCUGAUGCAGCGACGCCGCGUGUGGGAUGACGGUCCUCUGGAUUGUAAACCACUUUCCCCAGGGACGAAGCUGCCGCUACCUGGGGAUUCUGCUCCGGCUAACUACGUGCCAGCAGCCGCGGUCAUACGUAGGGAGCGCGCGUUGUCCGGAAUUACUGGGUGUAAGGGGAGCGUAGGCGGUACUGCAAGUUGGCGGUAAAAUCUCCCGGCUCAACCGGUAGUCGCACUCAAAACUGCAGUUCUUGAGUGAAGUAGAGGCAGGCGGAAUUCCUAGUGUAGCGGUGAAAUGCGUAGAUAUCAGGAGGAACACCAGUGGCGAAGGCGGCCUGCUGGGCUUGUACUGACGCUGAGGCUCGAAAGUGUGGGGAGCAAACAGGAUUAGAGACCCGAGUAGUC